AAAAAUAUUAAAUAAGCAUGUUGAUAGAAAACAAACAAACUCGGCCAUUACGGUGACAAUGUUUUAGUGCUAGCAGAGGCACAGUAAAUGCGAGCUUAGUGAAAUAGUGAGGAGAGGGGAACUGUUUUUUCCUCCCAAAUAUUGGCAGUUGAUGGCAGGGCUCUGAUGUGAAGAGCAGGGACCCGCUCAGGUUUGCCCAUGGCUUGCCCCAUAUCUUGUGUUCAUAUUUAGGAGCAUGAUGUAUGGUAUUUGCCCUUCUCCUUCCAUUGCAUUGGUGGUCCUGAGGCCCACGGCCUCAGAUACUGGUUGAGAUCAAAAAUAUUUUAAGCUAAAAAGCUUAUUACAAGCGUGGAGUAUUAUCAAAUAGGUGGAAUAUAUAUUCUGUGGACCAUGCUACAUUUAUUAUUUAUAACUUACAAAUACAUGACACUUCAGAAAUAUGAAAGCAAAUUUGCUCUCUCUGUUCAGGGUCUAUCAGCUCACGAGUCAGUCUCAGAGUCUGCAAUCUGAAAAGGUCACUUUGCCAUCUGUAAGCAGCUUUAAAGCCUUCGUGGGCCUUAAAACAUCGGGCUUAGCCAGUGGAAAAAAAAAUCUCCUGGAACAAGAUAGCUCUGCCAGCAGAGAGCUGGAAAAUGGCUGUGAUGAGCCUGCCAUCUCCUACUCUUGAUGCAGGUAGAGGAAGGAGAGCAGGUUUCCUAGAGCCAGAGCAUAUGUCUGCUUCAUCACAGCUUCAGCUAAUAAUUCUCACAUUUAUCUGUUCCAGGCUUGUCUCCAAACGACCAAAUGUAAAACCUGACCUUGCCUUAUGGAUACAUGAAACAGUCAAACCAGUGAGUGGUCCUGGCUCCACAGAGCCUGGCAUUCCCUUGUAAUCUCUCCUGCCUUUCUUUGUCGCUGUGGCCAACGUAUCCCACCAGUCAGCCACCAGCACCUGUAGUCUGCUCCUUCUCACUAGGCCCAUGUCAGCCGAAACAUGCCACAGGCAAAGCACGUUUCUUUAAAUCCAGCUUCUUUCCACCCCAACUACCAGUACCUGCCGUGAGGGGAGGUGAGGCCUGGACAUGUCCCACCACACAAGCAGUGCCACAAGCACGUCGAGAUGUCUCUCAGCACGCAGCUAGCUCCUCUCCCCUUUCCCAUACUGAAGCACCAAGCUUUGUGACUUCAUAAAGGAGGCGCCUGGAAACACGGUUUCAUUUCCCCCUCCCCUGGGCAGGGCAGGGAAGACCUACAAGCCACAGCGGCCAGGCUGGGGGCACGUCAGUCUCCUUGGAGCAGCACAGCUCAAUCCAGGGGCCUGUGCAAUGAUUCACUUUUUGCUCCAUUUGCCACUGACGAGAAUGGAUCAACUUCAGAGUUUGAUUUCCUCUGUGGAGUUUUCUAGGAGCUGGAGGUGCAUGGUAUCACUGCUGCGAGAGUUAUUUAUUAUUAUCUCUACUGGGAAAUCAAUCAGCGCUGCAGAGGAUAACAACAAACACUUAUAGCAAAGAAGAGAUGAUAUUCUCCUGUGGUGAUACUGAUAACACUGAUAGAUGGUAAAUACAUGGUCAGAGAAAACCCCACUGUUAGCCCAGCAGGAUUGACCUUAAACAGCUACGUAUGCCUAUAUAUAUAUUCUGAUUUCAGCCUGCCACCACGCAAAAGCAAUGGGUGUAGUAUACUCAUAGGCUGAGUGCCAGCAUUAAAAUUGCAUUUGCAUCACUUUUGUUUGUUUUUAGAAAAAUGCUCUCGGGUCUGUUUGCUUGAGUAGUGAAGCAAGAAUUUCAUUAUUUAAUAUGAGACUCUGAGCCCUGGAGUGGAAUACCAGCCACUAUUCCUUUACUGUUCUUGUAGUCAAAAAGCAAUUCUGAAAUAUAUCAGAAGUGUCUGUCCUCUCCCGGUUCUCUGAAAGCCUCAGCCCGUGCAUCUACUGCACGUCCUGUGAUUGAAAGCACGUGCCAGGGCUCUGCUGCACCUCUGGUCCCUGUUUUGCCCUGUAAGCUUGUCCUUCUUGCAGCUGGUGGUGGUGGUGGAGAUGUUCUCUCUGAUGACUAUUUUUAUUUGAGGUCCCACAGAGGUCAGGCUCUCUUUGCUAGGCACCGUGCAAACACUGCCUGGGAUGAGAUGCAAACCCAGUGUGAGGCAUGGAGGAACCCCCCGGUAUAUUCUGCAAUAGAGAUACAACACCCUAAUUUAAUUCCACUGUCUAUUCAUGUUUGCCAGUGAUGUCACCAGGACAUAGAGCUCUGCAUUUGCUGCUGUGGCUGUCACUAGCAAACUGUUCAGCUACAAAUCUGUUAGCUAGUACUUAAAGCGUGAUGAUGGACUUUGUUAAAACAAGCAAAGCUGAUUGAACAGGUCCACAUUGUGCUGCAGGAGUGGUUGCAGCUCAGGGACAAAUGAAGUUUCUCCUUCAUUUGGUCUAGAGGCCUAAAUCUGCCUCCUCUGGGUUCACCAUCAAACUGUGGCUGAUGCCAAGGCAAACUUGGUUUCAGUCCUUCAGGAGGGGGAUGCAUUUCAGACUUGGGGUAGGUGAAACUCAUGUUGUAAGUGUAAGAUAGUGUUGUUUUUUUCUCUGUGAUCUAAUAAGUAACUUUCUUUGACUUCUUCAGGCCCCAGCCUUGCCAAUUUUAAUAACUUCUGUUAUUGUUUUCUGAAGGGCAGCAUUUGCAUUGUUGAGGAAACCUAGCAACACUCAGUGAAAGAAAAAUAAUUAAAAUGCAGCAGACUAUUAGAAAUGCAAGACUGAAUUACGGUCUACUGGGGAAAACUAAUCUGAGUGUGGCUAAUGACAUCCUUUAGAAACUGAUACUCAGCUAAAAAGACAUUAAUGUCAUUUGUACUGAUAAUCUACUAUGUUAGUGCUUGUAAAUUGUUUAAUUUAAACCAUUCAAAAAAAUUUAAGGUUGUCAGUAUUUAAAGAUCCAAUGGAGUAUCCCUCGAAGUGACAGACGU